rnacentral:rRNA from 1 species
CCAGUAAUCCGUCUGAGUUCCUUAAAUGACUCGACGGGCGACUUCCGGGAAACCAAAGUUUUUAGGUUCCAGGGGAAGUAUGUUUGCAAAGAUGAAACUUAAAGAAAUUGACGGAAGGGCACCACCAGGAGUGGAGCCUGCGGCUUAAUUUGACUCAACACGGGAAAACUCACCCGGCCCGGACACUGGAAGGAUUGACAGAUUGAGAGCUCUUUCUUGAUUCAGUGGGUGGUGGUGCAUGGCCGUUCUUAGUUGGUGGAGCGAUUUGUCUGGUUAAUUCCGAUAACGAACGAGACUCUAGCCUACUAAAUAGAUCGUCGGCUUACAAACGCUGAUGAGACUUCUUAGAGGGACAGGCGGCGAUUCAGCCGCACGAAACAGAGCAAUAACAGGUCUGUGAUGCCCUUAGAUGUCCGGGGCCGCACGCGCGCUACACUGAAGUGAUCAGCGUGCAUUUUCAGCCUACUCUGCCAAGAGUGGGAAACCCAAUGAACCUUCUUCGUGAUUGGGAUAGGAGAUUGUAAUUAUUCUCCUUGAACGAGGAAUUCCCAGUAAGCGCGAGUCAUAAGCUCGCGUUGAUUACGUCCCUGCCCUUUGUACACACCGCCCGUCGCUACUACCGAUUGAAUGUUUUAGUGAGGUCUUCAGACUGGCCGGCGCAGCUGCUCUCG